rnacentral:rRNA from 1 species
CCUACGGGUGGCAGCAGUCUAGAGGCUUCGACAAUGACCGAAAGGUUGAUCGAGCGACGCCGCGUGCGGGAUGAAGGUCUUCGGAUUGUAAACCGCUUUUGUUUGGGAAGAAGGCCUGUGUCGUGAACAUGGGAUUGACGGUACCAAACGAAUAAGCCCCGGCUAACUCCGUGCCAGCAGCCGCGGUAAGACGGAGGGGGCAAGCGUUGUUCGGAAUCAUUGGGCGUAAAGGGCUCGUAGGCGGACUAGCAAGUCUGGCGUGAAAUCUCCACCGCUCACCGGGGAGAGGUCGCUGGAUACUACUAGUCUUGAGUUCGGUAGAGGGUCGUGGAAUUUCGGGUGUAGCGGUGGAAUGCGUAGAUAUCCGAAAGAACACCGGUGGCGAAGGCGGCGACCUGGGCCUGAACUGACGCUGAGGAGCGAAAGCUAGGGGAGCAAAC